rnacentral:rRNA from 1 species
GACGAACGCUGGCGGCGUGCUUAACACAUGCAAGUCGAACGGAAAGGCCCUGCUUUUGUGGGGUGCUCGAGUGGCGAACGGGUGAGGAACACGUGAGUAACCUGCCCUUGACUUUGGGAUAACUUCAGGAAACUGGGGCUAAUACCGGAUAGGAGCUCCUGCUGCAUGGUGGGGGUUGGAAAGUUUAGGCGGGUGGGGAUGGACGCGCGGCUUAUCAGCUUGUUGGUGGGCUAGUGGCUGACCAAGGCUUUGACGGGUAGCCGGCAUGAGAGGGUGACCGGCCACAUUGGGACUGAGAGAGGGCCCAGAGUCCUACGGGAGGCAGCAGUGGGGAAUAUUGCACAAUGGGAGGAAGCCUGAUGAAGAAACGCCGCGUGCGGGAUGACGGCCUUCGGGUUGUAAAACGCUUUCGCCUGUGACGAAGCGUGAGUGACGGUAAUGGGUAAAGAAGCACCGGCUAACUACGUG